rnacentral:lncRNA from 1 species
AGCUGGAGUGCAGCUGGAGGAGAGUGCACCACGGAGGCUGUGCUCAGAGAAGAGUGCAGCUCUCUGCCCCGCCCCUCCCUCUCAGCCUCAGUAGUAGCAGCAGCCCUGGAGGCUUGGAUGACUCUGAGAGCAGAUUCUUCUCAAAAUAUGUUGGUGGCUUGAGAGAUGUCAUUACCAAGUAGUGAUCUAUACAGAAG